CUUUAACACAAAAAGUUAAAUAUUGACGAACACAAUAUUGACAAAACUCUGAUACAUUGUUCAUUUAAAUGCAAUAGUGCAUAUAGCUUAUUAUAAUAAUUCCCCAAGCAUUAAGAGCGUUCCUCGCACCGCAUAUGUCUUACAAGAGAGAAGAUGCUGCUUUGACUGCUCGCAUCUGCUGGAGAUGUUGACACACAUAGUUGUUUACAGUUGUAAGAUUAUUUUUAUUAUUAUUAUUGUGGUAGCGCUUGUCGGAUUGGCGGAGGAACGGUGGAGAUCGGAAGUAGUUUGUGCAUGCUAAUGAAGGAGUUGGGGUUGUGGAUAUUUACGUUCAUCGGGAGCCGCCCUUCAUUCACCACAUGGUUAAAAGCUGAGCGCGUUCGCGGCACUUUCGCAAUUUUACUACGGUUUUGUAACGCAACCCAGCGCGUGCUCGGAUGCUGUAUUUCCACCGUCGGCGCUAGAAGUUUACCGUUUAGUUUCGACGAUUUGCCCGGAGCGUUGACAGUGAACGAAAAACAAUCGACCACCUCAAGUCCCCUUAACGACAUGAUCCGAGGCUAACGCCGAUCCCAAAAGUGGAUCUUCCCGGUUCCUGGUGGCCGUGAGCUUGUCGACUGCAUGUCAGCGUAGUGCCAAAGUGCUUACAGUGCAGGUUGGGAUCAGCCGCAAUGCUCUGCGCUGGAAGUAUUGCACUUGUCCCGGCCUGUGAAGAGCACGGGAAAUUGUCCAGCUGUUUUUGUGUUCUUUAAUAAAAUGUUAACGUGUGUAUGUAUGUGUGUGUAUAUAAUAUUUUGUUCCCUC
ensembl:lncRNA